rnacentral:rRNA from 1 species
UACGUAGGGGGCAAGCGUUGUCCGGAUUUAUUGGGCGUAAAGAGCGUGUAGGCGGCCAGGUAGGUCCGUUGUGAAAACUCGAGGCUCAACCUCGAGACGUCGGCGGAAACCCUCUGGCUAGAGUCCGGAAGAGGAGAGUGGAAUUCCUGGUGUAGCGGUGAAAUGCGCAGAUAUCAGGAAGAACACCCGUGGCGAAGGCGGCUCUCUGGUACGUGACUGACGCUGAGACGCGAAAGCGUGGGGAGCGAACAGG